rnacentral:rRNA from 1 species
GAUGGCAGCAGGCGCGCAAAUUACCCACUCUCAGAACGAGGAGGUAGUGACGAGAAAUAACAAGACCGUUCUCUUCAGAGGCCGGUCAUUGGAAUGGGUACAAUUUAAACCCUUUAACGAGUAUCUAUGAGAGGGCAAGUCUGGUGCCAGCAGCCGCGGUAAUUCCAGCUCUCAAAAUGCAUAAAAUCAUUGCUGCGGUUAAAAAGCUCGUAGUUGGAUCUGUGCUGACCUCCCGGUCCACCUUCGGGUGCGCACUGGUGGGGUUGGCUUUCUGCAGUAUUUGGGCUGGUGCCCUUCACUGGGUAUCAGACUCCUGACUGCAAGUUUACUUUGAACAAAUCAGAGUGCUUCAAACAGGCGUUUCGCUUGAAUGUUCGUGCAUGGAAUAAUAGAAGAGGAUUUCGGUUCUAUUUUAUUGGUUUUAUAGACUGAGAUAAUGGUUAACAGAGACAAACGGGGGCAUUCGUAUUGCUACGUGAGAGGUGAAAUUCUUGGACCGUAGCAAGACGAACUACAGCGAAAGCAUUUGCCAAGAAUGUCUUCAUUAAUCAAGAACGAAAGUCAGAGGUUCGAAGGCGAUCAGAUACCGCCCUAGUUCUGACCGUAAACGAUGCCAACUAGCGAUCCGCCGGUGGAUUCCUUGCCCUGGUGGGGAGCUUCCCGGAAACGAAAGUCUUCCGGUUCCGGGGGAAGUAUGGUUGCAAAGCUGAAAACUUAAAGGAAUUGACGGAAGGGCACCACCAGGAGUGGAGCCUGCGGCUUAAUUUGACUCAACACGGGGAAACUCACCCGGCCCGGACACCGUAAGGAUUGACAGAUUGAUAGCUUUUUCAUGAUUCGGUGGAUGGUGGUGCAUGGCCGUUCUUAGUUCGUGGAGCGAUUUGUCUGGUUUAUUCCGAUAACGAGCGAGACUCUAGCCUACUAAAUAGUCGGCACAUUGUCUCUGUGUGUGUGACUUCUUAGAGGGAUUUUCGGUGUUCAGCCGCACGAAAUUGAGCAAUAACAGGUCUGUGAUGCCCUUAGAUGUCCGGGGCUGCACGCGCGCUACACUGGCAAAAUCAGCGUGCUUGUCCUUCCCCGAAAGGGGUUGGUAAACCCUUGAAAAUUUGCCGUGAUUGGGAUUGGAAAUUGCAAUUAUUUUCCAUGAACGAGGAAUUCCAAGUAAGUGCGAGUCAUCAGCUCGCGUUGAUUACGUCCCUGCCCUUUGUACACACCGCCCGUCGCUGCCCGGGACUGAGCCAUUUCGAGAAACUUGGGGACCGUGGAUCCGUUGGCUUUCGGGUCGCCGU